UACAGAGGGGGCAAGCGUUGUUCGGAAUUACUGGGCGUAAAGGGCGCGUAGGCGGCCUUCUAAGUCGAACGUGAAAUCCCCGGGCUCAACCCGGGAACUGCGUCCGAGACUGGAGGGCUCGAAUCCGGGAGAGGGAUGUGGAAUUCCAGGUGUAGCGGUGAAAUGCGUAGAUAUCUGGAGGAACAUCGGUGGCGAAGGCGGCAUCCUGGACCGGUAUUGACGCUGAGGCGCGAAAGCCAGGGGAGCAAACGGG
rnacentral:rRNA from 1 species